rnacentral:misc_RNA from 1 species
GAUGAAGAACGCAGCGAAAUGCGAUAAGUAGUGUGAAUUGCAGAAUUCAGUGAAUCAUCGAAUCUUUGAACGCACAUUGCGCCCUUUGGUAUUCCUUAGGGCAUGCCUGUUCGAGCGUCAUUUAAACCUUCAAGCUCAGCUUGGUGUUGGGUGACUGUCCGCUGCCCUCGGGUGCGGACUCGCCUCAAAAUCAUUGGCGGCCGGUACAUUGGCUUCGAGCGCAGCAGAAACGCGAACUCGAGGACGUUGUAUUGGCUCCCAGAAGCUAUCUUCAUAAUUUUGACCUCGGAUCAGGUAGGGAUACCCGCUGAACUUAAGCAUAUCAAUAAGCGGAGGA